rnacentral:rRNA from 1 species
AGAUAAGGGAAGUCGGCAAAUUAGAUCCGUAACUUCGGGAAAAGGAUUGGCUCUGAGGGCUGGGCCUUGGGAUCUCACCGGCGAGCUUGACUGGCCCACGGGCGGGCUGCGGAGCUCCUUCACGGGACGCACUGCGGACCCCCGAGGGCCGGGCUUGAACAAUGGUGAGCUUGCUCCCUUGUGCAUUGAACAGCCAACUCAGAACUGGAACGGACAAGGGGAAUCCGACUGU